AUUGCUGGGUUAUAUGGGAAUUCUGCGUUUAGCUUUUCAAAGAAUUACUGAACUCUUUCCCUAAUGGCUGCACCCUUUUACACUCCUAUCAGUAAUGUACAAGUGUUCCAACUUCUCUUCAUUCUUGCCAACAUUUGUUAUUUUCCAUUAUUUUCAUUGUAGCCAUGCUAGUAGGUUUGAAGUUACAUCUCAUUGGGACUUGAUCUACUCAAAAGUUUAAAUUAAUGAGAAAAUUGUUUCAUGAAUGUCUUCUAUUAAAGUAUAGUAACUAUGAAAAAACAUCACCUCAAUCCUGUUAUUAAAUCUAAAAGUUGGUUGACAGCUUGCCAGACUUCUAGCUGUCAGGGGCAGGGACUGGGCAGACCUAUCUUCUGAGUGUACAUAAAAGCCACUCAUAAUUAUGAAUAUUAUUAUUGAAUGUCUACCAAAUGCUUACUGCUUUAUGUCAUUAUUCUUCUCCCACAGUACUGUGAGAUAAAUAUUUUUAUCCCUUUUAAAUAGGGGAGAAACUGCGGGCCUUCUAGAAUAAAGAAGACAACCAAAGUCAGACUUUGGUAAAUGGCAGUGCCAGUUUGAACCAAUAUCUGCUUGAUCUCUGGUCCUACACAUUUUCCACCAUAAUAGAGCUUUAGAGGGAUGAAGGCCACCAGAAGGGGACAGAAGACCAUUAGUUCCUCUGAAAAAUGUAAAAAGGUAGCUGAAACAUCUAGUACAAUGAGUUCUACAUGGUGGGCCCACAUCACACCACAGUUGUUGGGUUAUUCCACAGAAGAUUACUCUGAGAUACAGGAAAUGAACAGUCCUGCGGUGCUCUGCCUGCAAUGAAAUAAGCCACUUCCACCAAGGAUAACAGUAAGCAACACGACCAAGAGAGAUGGACUCUGGGUUGGUCUUUGCAAUUCCUCAAAUGCCUCCUAGGUAUGCUGGUGAUGAUUCGUGCUCCUCCAUGUCUGUUGCCAGUUCUAUAUGUGCAUCCACAGCUUUGCCUUCUACUCCUAACCACCUGUACCUGCAGCUCUCUCAGACAAUUGUCUUGUGGCUACUGAAGCAGAACUGGAAGCAUCUGGAGUUGACAAGUCCUCACUGCUCCCACUUUUAUCCAGCAUGCAGCCAAUGACUGGUUGCUGCUUCAAGAAGGCAAAAUUCCACAUCCUUUGCCACCAGGAAGGACAGUGUCUGAGGUGCAUUUUACCCACAGGAUCAAGUUCAGGCUUGGACUUCACUUGAGAUCAUAACCUUGCUCAGCUUUUCCUGUUUACAUAUCCUGCUUUUCCUGAGUCCUUUUCUGUUUCUCCCCCAAUAAACCACUUUCACACAAAUCCUCUCA
rnacentral:lncRNA from 12 species